rnacentral:rRNA from 1 species
CAGUCGCCACGGUAAUACGGAGGGUGCAAGCGUUACUCGGAAUCACUGGGCGUAAAGGACGCGUAGGCGGAUUAUCAAGUCUCUUGUGAAAUCUAACGGCUUAACCGUUAAACUGCUUGGGAAACUGAUAAUCUAGAGUAAGGGAGAGGCAGAUGGAAUUCUUGGUGUAGGGGUAAAAUCCGUAGAUAUCAAGAAGAAUACCUAUUGCGAAGGCGAUCUGCUGGAACUUAACUGACGCUAAUGCGUGAAAGCGUGGGGAGCAAACAGGAUUAGAUACCCCCGUAGUCCCUGUCUCUUAUAC